UACGGGGGGUGCAAACGUUGCUCGGAAUCAUUGGGCGUAAAGCGCACGUAGGCGGCUCGUUAAGUCGGAUGUGAAGGCCCUGGGCUUAACCCAGGAAGUGCAUACGAAACUGGCGAGCUUGAGUAUGGAAGAGGGUCGCGGAAUUCCCGGUGUAGAGGUGAAAUGCGUAGAUAUCGGGAGGAACACCAGUGGCGAAGGCGGCGACCUGGGCCAAUACUGACGCUGAGGUGCGAAAGCGUGGGGAGCAAACAGG
rnacentral:rRNA from 1 species